rnacentral:tRNA from 2 species
GGAGAGAUGCGAGAGUGGCUGAAUCGGCGCGAUUGGAAAUCGCGUGAGGGGUUUUCCCCUCCGAGGGUUCGAAUCCCUCUCUCUCCG